CCUUUAAUUGUGUCGAAAUAAGUAGUGUGAAUAUUUUAAUCUCUUUUUUUUCUUUUUUUCUUUCUUUCUAAUUUGAUAAAUCGGUUGUCCCUUACUUAUGUAUUUUUUUUUUUAAUAGUUUGAAACUAAAUUGGUAGUUGCUAGUUUCAUAAAACAUUUUAUUUACUAACUACCUGGCGCCCACUAAUCAGUCUCCCCCUUACAUCCUUUCAAUAAAAUCGACUGCAAAGAGGUUAAAUUUCGAGAGAACCUGCGACCCGCCGCCGAAACAACUGAGUGCCGUACGCAGUGGCCGCUUUUCAAAAUUGGAAACGACUAUAUCAACUGAUGCAGGCAAUUCUGCGUCAACGCCAAUCAAACGAAAAUUGGAUUCUUGUCCGGUUCAAAAUCCGAAUGUUCUCGAAAAACUCGACUGGGGCGAUUAUAAAACUGGCCAUUUAAAAACACCCAGAUCUCAACAACUGCAUACCAUUUCUUCGAGGAGGAGGCCUACACUACAGGCAUUGCAUUCUAGCCACAUAUCGAAAAUGUAUGAUGAGUUGGCCAAGAAAAAAUUGCAGUUAGCGGACGUGCAACUAGAAGAAAUGAAAAUUCAACUCGAAGAACGGAAAAAGGAGACGGAACGGAGGAAAACAGAA